AUGUUUACUUAUUUGGCAACGGUAUUUUAUUCCUUUCUACCGAUUGUCUAGCUAUCGCUAUUUGAAUUUUUUAUCAAAAAAGUAAGUAUACUUUAUCCUGUUGUUUCCAGCUAGGUUGGAUAUAUAGCAGGCGUAAUAAUUUAAUUCAAUAUUACGACAGGAGUAGCAAUUGCUACUCCUUUUUUUAGCUCAU
rnacentral:misc_RNA from 1 species